rnacentral:lncRNA from 1 species
GGCGAGCGCACGGAACGAAUAUCUGUGUACGUAGCAACAGGUUUUAGAAGAAGUUUCUCUUAACGGUAUCAUUUAUUGAAAUCACUGGAUCAUGACGGCAGCAGUGAAAUGGGCGGUAUCACACAGAACUAUCUGGAGGCAUUUAUUUCCAAUCCAAAAUGGAGCCAUAUCUAGUGCUUGUCACAAAUCUACGUAUUCUUCCCUUCCAGACGACUACAAUUGCAAGGUAGAGCUGGCUUUGACAUCUGACGGCAGGACAAUAGUGUGCUACCACCCUUCCGUGGAUGUCCCCUACGAACACACCAAACCUAUCCCUCAUCCAGAUCUUCUGCAUAAUAACGAGGAAACACACGAGCAGAUACUGAGAACCAAGUUAGAAGGAAAUCACAAGCAUCUUGAGCAAGGGCCCAUGAUAGAACAACUCAGCAAAGUGUUCUUCACCACGAAGCAUCGCUGGUACCCACACGGACAGUAUCACAGAUGCCGU